AGAAUUUAUCACUUAUACAAUCUUUUUGGACUUCCAUCAGCACCUCUGAUGAUCCACCGUUUUAACCACUUCUUAUGCAUUUCUUAACUUUAUAUUGCCUUUACAUCUCUUAACAAAUCAUCCUCCCCCUUAUCCAUUUUUACAAUACUUCUAAUAAUACUCCUCACAAAACUUCUUGCAACCCUACAAACGUCGUCUGUUCUUCACAAUUACCUUUCAAAUAGUCCGUAAAUUUACUCCAGUCUUCCGUGAAUUUCUGGUCUCGCCGGUUUCGAAUCCUUCCUGUUAAUCUAAUUAGCCCUUUUAAAAGGGUCCUUGGAGGUUUUUAAGCAGAGGUUGGAUGGCCAUCUGUCAUGGAUGAUCUAGUUGAGAUUCCUGCAUUGCAGGGGUUUGGACUAGAUGACCAUCAGUGUACCUUCCAACUCUACAAUUCUAUAAUAUUUCCUCCCUAACAAAUUGUAAGCACUUUAUUUUAUUUGGGAAUGAAGCUGUGAGCAAACCUGUUCUAUCACCAUGAUUAAAUUUUGGUACCACCACUAGAGACCAGAUAAAAUAUCUCUAGGGAUGGAUUUGGUCUGCAGGCUGUCAGUUGACUAUUCUUGGUCUAUGGAGCUUCCUCCACCUCUAUCCUUUCCUCUACUGUUCAUCUGGUAGAAAGGAUUCAUGGUUUAAAUCAAGAAGAAAAAAACCAAAUCCCUAGCUCAACCGGAGCAUGAUUUAGCCAUCUCAGCACCACAUCUUUAAACACAGAAUGAAGAACAUUGUUUACCUCUACAUGUGGUCUUCUGGCAAUGGGAGUACUGAUCCUUUCUACCAGAGCAUCUCCACCUUGAAAAAUUUGCCUACAGCAUCACCACAUCUCCCAAAGUAAGCCUUCACCAUUAAAACCAUUAAAGCCAUUAAAACAUUAGAUGGUCACUGUAAUUAGAACUUCAUUCCUAAGUGGGAAAGUGUAUUGUGAGAAGGAAAAGGGGAAGUCGGUGCAAUCUCUUUAUUUCUUCUUCUUUCUUCUUCUUUCUUCUUAUUUUUGUUCUGUUUAUGAAUUAAAUUAUCUUGAAGAGAUUUCACAGUAAAAACAUCGGCAGUGAAAACCAAUGGGCCCUUUCAUGUAUGAAACCAACUAAAGGAAGUUUCAUGUGCAAAAAUAAUUUCAGGUCCAAUGCAGAUACUGGCUGGGCUAAAUAUCUCCACUUAAAAGGCUUGUUGAAGAAGAAAGGGCCUCCUUAGGCCCUGAAGGACAAUGGAGACUGCCCCUGUCUGAUAUGCAACAAGAGGGACUAGGGCCAACUCAUGACAUUUUGGCAUCUGAGGUGAAGGACACAAUGGUGAUUCUCCCCCACCAAGGAAGGUGUGUGAAGAAACUUCAUCAGGAGCAAGGGUAUGGAAUAAAGAUCUACACCAGGAACAGGAGAGGAGACCAGAAGCAUCUGUUGUUCACCAAGAGGCCACUGUAGCAGUGGCAUAGCAAGGUGGCUAAUGAGGAGGCAGCAGACCCGCCUCCAAGGAGCAUGUUGCAGCUGCCACUGUGGCAGCCGCAGCAGUGGGUGAUGCAUUCCUUGGAUGCCUGAUCUGCUGCCCCUGUGAAUCCUGCUGCCUGAGGCGGUUGCCUCACCUUGUUGCCUCAUGGGUAGGCCGGACCUGGGAGGAAGUUCCAAAAGGUAGGUGCCACCAUGCUAGAGGCCUGAUUCCUGUAUCAUAUGCAAUGGACCUCCUGAUGAGAUCCUUCCCCUAUAAAUCACAGGGAACAAUUUGGAAUAUAUGAGGAGUGAGAUGAUCUUUUAGAAACAAUCAUUCGCACAGAGAAGAGUCGAAACGGGAUAACAUAGCCAUAGGUUCAAAUACUGGCGGAAAAUGUAAGAAUCCAUUUCUAAUAACCCUUUUGGAUGAAAGGGAUUAAGCUUACGCUUGUUAUGCACUGUUUGUGCUCAUUGUUUCUCAGAACAGGAUUAACUUUGAUCAUUUUCUAUUGCCACUCGAGCAUCUGCUACGAAAUAGGCUGGCACGCUGAAAGUUUUGUCGCAGGACCCAAGUGCACUGUUACCUCAUACACAGAAUGUCAGUGGAAACUGGAUUUGUUCAACUCGAAGGCCGUCACCAAACAUUGCCUGGGAGACUCCAGUCAAACCUGUAAAAUCUUCUGCAGCCAAAACAUCUGCAGGGAUUUUAAAGGCAGCAAAAAUGAUUCUGAUAAGAUAGCAAACUCUGUCCUCAUUCAGGCAUCAUGCUUGAGCAAGAAAUAGCAGUCUGGAUUUGGGGUAUUGAGCCAAGCAUGCUGGUCAGCCCCAGAUCUUCCCAGGUUGAGCAGGAGAUGUCUGAAUGAGGCUUUUACCUGGAUUUACUUGACUGAGUGUAGACACCUCUGCACAUAGGAGCCCUGUAUUAUCAUAGCUUGAAGACUUCAAUUAAGUGAAGACUUCACUUUAGCUAAGCGAAAACAGUUUGGAACCUUCAACACACUUUCCCUGCUAUAAACACAGGGAGGUCUGUAAUAGAGUGGGGAGGCACACAUAUUCCCACCACAUAACACUGAAACGUGACUGGUACUUUGUUAUGGUGCGUUAGAAGCUUUUAAUGUUUUGUUGCAUUCUUUUAUAUUCUGUUGGAAGCCACCCAGAGUGGCCGGGGCAACCCAGUCAGAUGGGUGGGGCACCAGAAAUUGUUGUUGUUGUUCUAUCAUCAUCAUCACCAUCUUUAUUAUUCCAGGUUAACCCUGUGUCUGUCGACAAUUGUGUAGGAACACGUCCCACCAGUCUUCUUGCAAUACGCAGAUAUCCAUGAAUACACACCUUAGUAGUAACAGGCAUAUAAUACGCACCUGGCCUCGCUUCUCUCUCUGCUUAGCAAAUCCAGCAAUCAUACAAAGUUUUAUUUGGAAAGGGUAAAAAUGAUAUCACAGAAGGACACAGUCGCAACCUCCAUUUAUCUCCAGUUGUCAGAUAUUUUACUGCAAAUAAGUUUACUGUGCAGGUGUUCUUUCCUUUCAUGGGUUUUCAUGGGAGAGACAUCACUAGUGCUGUCAAAAUUCAUGAAGCCAGGGAGCUCCAUGGGAAAGCGUUCCCAUUUGCAUGGAGAAGAGAGACAGGCAGAGAUGAAAUACUGCAAAAUCUUUUACUGCACCUGCAUAAAUAGGGGCAUGCUAUGCCCUCCAGAAGUUCAAAUCCUGGAUGAGGCACGUUAAAAUAACAUAAUGAUGUAGUUGAGAGCAUGCUUGGAGCAGUUUCUAAUAACUACAGAUGUUUCACACCUAAGGGUGUGAGGGAACCAUAGAGCUUGAUAAUCAAACCACACAAUGUCAAAUUCACUUAUUUGGGGCACUGUUGUCCCCCUCCGUUCAGGUCCCACAGUUUUUUUUUUUCCUUUUUAUAAAAAAAAGCACCUUAAAAGGUUGUAGAAGUCAUAUAUGUCCUGGGAGAGUGGAAGCCUGCAAAGGAUCACUGAAGGCUUUGUAUCGUUUGUAGCAGCUUAACUGCUGAAAUAUUGUAGAGCAAAUACACUGCACAGUGUAAGCUCUGUCGACACAAAUCUUUCUUUUGGGAAUGAUUGGCCAAGAAAAAAAAUGUCUUAGAGAUGCUUCUUGGUUGGAUUGGUCUCCUUCAUGUCUGCACUGAACAACAGGCUUGUGUGUGAGGUGUGUGAGAGAGAGUUCUUACCAGUACAGCUCUUUAUGUGGGCACCCAUAACACUUUGAUCAAUAUAUGAGUACAGGCAACUCAUUUUUUAGGACACCUCUACCCAAUCCCACCUUACAUGUGUGUGUGUCUCUGUGUGUAAUUUUCUAGUUCAUUGGUCAAUAUUUAUCUGUGGUUCAUUGCUUUGGAUCUAUAAGACAGUCACAUGUUUUUCAGUUUUCUUUGCCUGGUCUGAGUUAGAACAGACCCUCCAAGUCUCCCUAUUUUCCAGGGACAUCCCUGAUUUAGAGAAGUCAUCCCGGGUUCUGAUUUGAUCCUGAAAUGUCCCACUUUUUCCUUAGGAGGUCCCUAUUUUCAUCGGAGAGCUGCUGGAUGAUGUGGUAGGAUGUCCCUAUUUUCAUUAGAGAUAUGUUGGAGGGUAUGGAGUUAUCUGACCCCCCAAGCUGUCUGAAGGCAAUCUUGCAUAGGGAAGGUGUUUUAAUUUUUUUUUAAUGUUUUGUUAUGUUUUUAUAUUUGUUGGAAGCUGCCCAGAGUGCUGGGACAACCCAAUAAGAUGUGUGGGUGUAAAUAGUAAAAUUAUCAUUAUGGAAUGGGACUUCCCUAUUUUCAUUGGAGAAAUGUUGGAGGGUAUGGUACAGCAGCAGUGACACUGGCAGGUGGCACAGUGGCGGUGAGUGUCCCACGCGUGGUGGUGGUAUGGUGGUGUGGCAGAGCAGAGUGGCACUUCCUGUUUUGCCUCAAGUGGCAAAAUGGGACGUACCACCCCUGAUCUCAGGAUUCCAGAACUUACAGCUAUCAGUUCUGAGUGAAGGCAAGCAAUGACCCACAGCCCAGGUGGGGCUCGCUAGCUUGGGGAGGAGAUGUGUGAUUCCUCAGCUGGAGAAGGUUCAGGUGAGGCUCACGUUCUUUGCCAAGCCCAGAAGCUACAACAGGCCUGUGUCCUGGCCACACACACAUGGCUUCUGUUUUGUGCAAAGCUGGUAGACUGAGAAACACUAAAGGUGUGUGCUUACAGGGAAACAGAUACCAGUGUCCAUGGGCCAUCCCACCCAUGAAUUUUUCUCUGAGAAAAAUAAAUGGCUCGCGUAAAUAUAAACUAAGCUUUAAUAAUAAUGAAAACUGUAACAGAAUAACAUAAUGAGAGAAACUACAUGCAGCAACAGGAGGCAAGAAACAAGAAGACACAGUUGGUCCCUCUUAACGGACAUUCUUAACUGAACAGAACUGAACACACAUGGAAGGGAGGGGCUGAUUCUGGAACAAAGCACACAAGCCCCACCCACCAGAUACCAAGCACUCUACUAGAGUGGUACCUUGGUUCUCAAAUGCCUUGAUACUGAAACGCCUUGCUUUUCAAAUUGCCGAAAACCCAAAAGUAAGUGUUCUGGUUUUCGAAUGUUUUUCAGAAGCCAAAAGUCCAAUACGGUUGUCAGCUAUUGUUUCUGGGGUGCCUGCACCAAUCAGAAGCUGCGCCUUGGUUUUUGAACAUUUCGGAAGUCAAACGGACUUCCAGAAUGGAUUAAGUCUGGCACUUCUGUUUUUGCUAUUGGUUUAGUGUUUUUGUUUUUGAGGCUUUUUCAGUUAAUUUGUUUUUGUGACUGUGUGGAACCCAGUUCAGCUACUAAUUGAUUGAUUGUGUGACUACGGAAAUGGAUAAAAGCCCCCCAUCCAAACAAUGACUGUUAUCGGUGCAGGAAAGGAAAAAAAAGUAAUUUUAAUUUUUAUCAUCUACAAUACUGUCUUACUUAUUUUAUACAGUACGGUACAUUGCUUAUUGCUUUCAUUUUAUGGAUCAAUGGUCUCGUUAGAUAGUAAAAUUCAGGUUAAAUUGCUGUUUUAGGGGUUAUUUUUAAAAGUCUGGAAUGGAUUAAUCCGUUUUGCAUGACUUUCUAUGGGAAAGCGCGCCUUGGUUUUGGAACGCUUUGGUUUUGGAACGGACUUCCGGAAUGGAUUAAGUUUGAGAACCAAGGUACCACUGUAUUCAAAUUAGGCCUCAGUGGCAAUCCUUUAUAGGGAAGUUCUUUUUAAUGUUUAAUGUUUUAUUAUGUGGCUGUGACAACCCAGUAAGAUAUGUGGGGUAUAAAAAGUAAAAUUAUCAAUAUGGAAUGGGACGUCCCUAUUUUCUUUGGAAAAAUGCUGGAGGGUAUGUAAGGAUUGUCAAUUGGUCAACAUUUCACUGGCCUUUUCCAGCAAGGUUGCAUUGUUGUUAGCCGCCCUGAGCCCGGCUUCGGCUGGGGAGGGCGGGAUAUAAAUAAAAAUUAUUAUUAUUAUUAUUAUUAUUAUUAUUAUUAUUAUUAUUAUUCUGUCAAGUGAAAGUGAGUAAACAUCAAAUCCCACUACACUGUGUGCUAGACAAACAAGAUUCUGCCAGAUUUUAUUUGUUUGUUUGUUUUAUUUAACAGGAUUUAUAUACUACUUAAUCAUUAAAAAAUCUCUAACUGGUUACUAUCAAUUCAACAUUGUGUUGUAGCCAGUGAAGUCAUCCCAUCACUUUAAUGAAUUUUGCCUGCGCAAUGAGACUUUCUCUCCCUCUGUGUCCUCAAAUCUGUUCUGAAUAAAAUAUGGGGUUUAUCUGCCCCCCCCAUUUGAUCACAGGACAUGGUGCACAUACAUCAUUUGAAUGGCAAUGUCCUAGGAUCUGGUAACAGGAAAAGGAGCAGGACUGAAAUGAAGGGUGAACUAUUAUGCCACAGAAAGUGUGGGAGCUACUGCUCUGAGUAGGAGAGAUCUUGCGUGAAAGCUGACAUUCUAAAAUAAACCCCCUUCCUGCAAAACAUUCUCACUGAAGUUGACUACAGUGGUAUUCUUUAUACAUUAACUUUGGCUCCAUUUCAGAGUAAAAUUCAUGAGCAAGAGUAACCAAUUAUUAAGGAAUAGGAAGACAAAGGAAUGCGCUUCUGCAUUGUGCUGGGACUUAGUAAGAGUUGAACACACAUUAUUCACUGGAUAAAUAUGUGGAAGAAAGGAAGAGAGUAUUUAUCUCUGUUUUAAUUACUGUUAAUCUGCCGAGACUUUCCCAUUAGAAAUAUCACACUGGCAUUUUCUUGGGUACCAGCUGCAAGCCAAGCUCUUUAACAUUUAAUUUUGAUGCACUUACUCAUCCAGUUCCCUGCUUUCCUUCAUCUGUUCACUAUGCACCCAUGCUUUUGAGAAGAUCUUUCUGAUGAGACACUCCCCCAAAAUUUCAGUUAGUUUCCCCUUUGUUCUCUUUUGCCCCCUGCCUCAAUCCCUAGGUCUCUCUCUCUCUCUCUGAAUAUCUCUCAGUGAAUAUUUCUCUUUGAAGCACAUCAUGUUUCAGCCAGGGAUAAUGGCCUUUGGUAUUCUGCUAGAAUCACAUUAAAAACCACUGUGUUCCACUGGCUGAGGAAGUUACAGUGCUGCUCUCUUCCACCUGAUGAUAAUCUGGGGCUGUACUGUGUACUAAACAAUCACUAUUCAUUGGGGUUUGUUAGACAUUUCAUUCCACAGCAAAAGGAAAAGGGAACUUUUGUCAAUAAUUAAGUUUCAACAUUGGCAGAGUGGGAUUCUUCAGGUGCCCACAUCUCAGGGGGGGAGGAGGGGGCCUAAUGAAAGAGGCUUGUUCUUUCCAUGCUAUGUUUUGAGAAGGGAAUUAGCUCUCCAGACACUCCCACAAGGCUAAUUUUUAACACAGGAAGCAUCCUUCAGUAGAAGUCAAAUCUCCCUAGGAUCCAGCACUGAAAACAUUAUCAUUUCAAAAUUCUCUUUACAAGUUCUUUGUCUUCAGCUUCAUUAUUGUCUUGUUCCUGUACUUGACAGAAUUCUCAUAGGCCUUGCAUUAUUACAGAGAAACAUGAUGGCAAGAAAGUCCUUUGCUCCUUCUGUUACCUUGAAGAGAAGGCUGUUCCAAGGGAACAGGGGCAGUUUCCUAACAUAGAAAUAUUACAGGGGCAGUUUCCUAACAAAGGAAUAUCUCCAGUGUUCAGGAUGUGUGUGGUUUAUAUAUGUAGGCAGAAGGACACACAUUCUUGUGCAUGAGGGAGCUAUCCGGAGGUCUGAUGGAACCACAAGUUUUGCAAAGGAACAAUAAAACUUGGGGGGGAGGAACUAAAGGGGGAUGGUAUACCAAAAAAGUUAAAAAUGUUUAAACACAGCUAAUUUACAACCAGGGACUGUUAGGCUGUGUGCAUAUUAUACAUUUAAUUCGUUCCCUCAAAGAAUUAUGGGCACUGCAGUUUGUUAAGGCUUGCUGGGAAUUACAACUGUGGGGGCUAAAGUACAGAGCCCAGAAUUCCUUGAGUAAAAGAAUGUGCUUUGAAGGUGCUUUAAAGGUUUAAUGUAUAAGCAGCCUUAGCUGGAAAUAGCUCAUACCCGUUAGGUCUUGUGUUCUUCAUUUGUGUUCUCCAAAAGCUAGAAAAAUACAGUGGUGCCCCGCAAGACGAAUGCCUCGCAAGACGGAAAAACCGCUAGACGAAAGGGUUUUCCGUUUUGAAGUUGCUUCGCAGGACGAAUUCCCCUAUCUUGCUUCGCAAGACGAAAAUGUCUUGCGAGUCUUGAGAUUUAUUUUUCGCUUUUCCCCCCCUUUAUCUAAUCUGCUAAGCCUUUAAUAGCCUUUAAUAGCCUUUUAGCAGCUAAUCCCCUAAGCCUUUAAGCCUUUAAUAGCCGCUAAACAGCUGAUAGCGCUAAUAGCGCUAAUCCGUCAAUGGGCUUGCUUCGCAAGACGAAAAAACCGCUAGACGAAGACUCUUGCGGAACGGAUUAAUUUCGUCUUGCGAGGCACCACUGUAUAAGAUUUGGUAACGGGUUUGUCAUGGCCUCCCAAACCUGAUAACUUGCACUGCCUCCAAGGGAAGUCCAGAUGAGGAAAAGAUUCACACUGCUCCACCCAGUGGAUAGACUUUCAGCAUCUCACACUUUUCAAGCCUGAGGACAUGGAAAUUCUGCCUUCCUCAGACUCAGAGCCCUCAGUAGCAUCUCCUGCUUCUCUGUAGUUGCAGAACCAAAAAUAAACCCUUUUAAAAGAACAGAUAGUUCCUCUAGGGCAGGCAUCCCCAAACUCAGCCCUCCAGAUGUUUUGAGACUACAAUUCCCAUCAUCCCUGACCACUGGUCCUUCUAGCUAGGGAUCAUGGGAGUUGUAGGCCAAAAACAUCUGGAGGGCUGAGUUUGAGGAAGCCUACUCUAGGGAGACAGUGCCAGCAGCAUAACAGGUUGUAGCUUUAUGAUGCUUCAAUGCUUAGCUGAAGCCACAUUCCCAUGUUGUCUACAGUAGAGGGAGAGCUACAAGCAGCAGAGCUCACUGCAGAAAAAACCCAAACAAGAAUCCAAACAAGGGAGGCUAUUCCAUAACCACGGUGCCAACACUGAAAAGACCCUUUCUUUGGUAGCCACCCACCUUAAAGUGCUUCUAAAUCUGACUUUGUGGGAGAUUAGCAGUCCAACCCAACUAAUGUAUAUUAUUGCUAGUUAGCAUGAGAAAGGGCUAAGUCCACAGAACUGUAUUGCUGAUAGGCAGGUACUCAGACCAUAGAAAUACAACUGGUAGAGUGGUCUCUGUGUGAUGUCAUUUCCCCUCCUUUCCUAGAGAAGAAGGAGCAUAUAGUACUUCCUGUUCCUCUCUUUCUUCCAGUGAUCAGCCAUGAGGGCAGACGAGCCUUGUGCUUGUUCCAGCUUUAGGCACAUACUGUAAAUAUGAGUAUUUUGCCUGCAUAGUUUUGACUAAUGCCAUCGCUGUGAACCAGUGCAAGAAUAUAAGUAAAUCAAACUUACCGUAUUUUUCGCUCCGUAAGACGCACCAGACCAUAAGACGCACCUAGUUUUUGGAGGAGGAAAACAAGAAAAAAAAAUUUCUGAAUCCCAAAAGCCAUAACAGCAAGAGGGAUCGCUGCGCAGUGAAAGCAGCAAUCCCUCUUACUGUUCUGUCUGGGAUAGCUGCGCAGCCUGCAUUCACUCCAUAAGACGCACACACAUUUCCCCUUACUUUUUAGGAGGGAAAAGGUGAGUCUUAUAGAGCAAAAAAUACGGUAAUCUUUAAACUUACUUUUCAGAUUGUUACCUGAUUCUUUGUUAAGUGGGAUAAGGAAGGGGAGCCAGCUUAAUCCAUAGCUGAACUUGUUCAAAACAAGGUUUUAUAGCCUAAUUCCUAUACUUUUAAUUUUGCUCCCAAGGAUGGGAUUUUGAACCUCUUUUCAACUCACACAGGUGGGCACUUGGAGGGAUAAAUUGCAAUUAAUAUAUCCUCUCUUACUCAUUAAAAACCCACCCCACAAACUUGACCUGAUGUAAACCUGCUUACUGAGAUUUGACCUUAUAUGAACCUGACCUGACGUGACCUUAUUUAAGGCUGCUACCACUUCCCCCGCGAACCCUGAGCCCCAGAAUAACAGGUUGCUGCCACAUUUGAGGUGUGGAAAAACUGGGAACUUUGCCCAUCUGCACCCAUCAAGCAGUUGGAUUUUCCACUUACAACUGCCAGAGAUUCCUUUUGCAAGUAGCAUCAGUAUGUGGAGCAGAUGUCCCUUUCUCAGCCCCAUUGGAGUGAAAUUAUCUAGAGAAAACAAUAAAUAAUUUCCAGUGACUUGACCUUAUGCAGCCUUCCUAUUCAAAUGGCAAAAUAAGAAAUGUACAAAUCAUCACAGGCAAUGGAUGGGGAGAUAGAGUGAGAUCCAUAAAGCACAAGAAAUCCCUGGAAAGUCGGCUUGGCAUCUACUCCAUUGUGUGAUGUAUGCAGUUUUGUCAAUGAAGGGUAACAAGCCAGUUCCAUAGGUAUUAGGGAAGUAUGUUAGGAUAUCAGUGCUAUAAAUUUUAAGACUGUGACAUGGGCAGUGUGUUUUAGGCUGGCUGUAAUUACUUUGUGCGUAAGAGAGAAACAUGGUGGAAGAAAUCAGAAUGCGAGAACGCCAUCCGGUGGUGUCAGAAAAAGGAAAGGAGGGGUAAGUUGUAAACAAUAGGCUGUCAUAGUGAGUAAAAUGGAAUUUCUGUCUUUAAAAAUAAAAUAAAAACCAGAGCAAAAUUUCAGAAAGCUUAUAAAUCACAGCUUUACCCCGCAUUAUUUUCAAACAAGCAAUUCAAAAUCUCUGCAGUUGGCCUUCUGGGGACUUCUUAAAUCACUAAGCCCUUAUCAGCACCAGGUAGAAUAAAAGUCUCUUUCAGCACAUUUAUCCUGCCGUUUCAUUUGAAUCCAGCAAAGCCACGGAGGCGGUGAGACAUCCUGUUCUGGACAAUGUUACAUUACCUUGGAAGGAGCAGGUCCACAGCUUUCGGGGUGCGGCUUUUUAGUGUUGCCAUAUUGCCAAAAGUGAAAAUCCAGACAGAGUUGUUGAUUUUUUUUGGGGGGGGCAAAGUUGUUGAGCUCCCCAAAAACAUUCAUUUUGGGUCUUAUAUUUUUAAAGAAUUGUAAAAAUAAAAAUAGCCCAACUUACCAUACAUCCAGGUUUCCCUGGACAUUUUAUCAAUUCAGCAAAAAUCUGCCCAGACGCCAUUUUCCUGAACGAAUAAUGUCCCGGAAAACCCAGACGUGUGGCAGCCUUAGGGGGGCUGCUGGAUUCAACACUGUCGCUGGAGGCUCUGGUGGCCUUGGUGACUAGGAAUCCUCUGGCUGUUUUUGGAGAGAAAUGACUUGGCCUCUGUACUCCAUGCUCAGGCAACUUCCAGAUUGAAUGGUUGUGUACCGAAUUUCCUUUAUGAGUGAGGCCAGAAGGUGAACUACAGAACUGGAAAACAACAAAAAGGUGCAUGUUGAGGGAGCGAAUAGUGCAAUUAUGUAGUUUAGUCAUGAGGUGGCACUGGAUUUAGCUGUAUCCAGGUGGAGGCGGGAUGCAGGUGGUGCUGUGGGUUAAACCACAGAGCCUAGGACUUGCCGAUCAGAAGGUCGGCGGUUCGAAUCCCCGUGACGUGGUGAGCUCCCGUUGCUCGGUCCCUGCUCCUGCUAACCUAGCAGUUCGAAAGCGCGUCAAAGUGCAAGUAGAUAAAUAGGUACCGCUCCGGCGGGAAGGUAAACGGCUUUUCCGUGCGCUGCUCUGGUUCGCCAGAAGCGGCUUAGUCAUGCUGACCUCAUGACCCGGAAGCUGUAUGCUGUCUCCCUCGGCCAAUAAAGUGAGAUGAGCGCCGCAACCCCAGAGUCGGUCAUGACUGGACCUAAUGGUCAGGGGUCCCUUUACCUUUACCUUUACCUUUAGGUGGAGGCAAACAUUUUCUGCGCUGUUCAAGACAAUAAAGUUCUUGUCUAGUUUUCUAACUGAUGCGUCCUCUAUGCCUUCUGUGAUGGCGAAAACACUCAAGUAGUGCACGGACCAGGAAAUCCAGCCAUUUACUACCUUCCUGCACAACUUUUUGCUCUUUCCUACCUCUGCUCCAUCAAAAAGUCAGUACAUCCUUUAAUCUUGACACAUGAGAAUACUCAUGCACCGGGGCAAAUACUCCUGGACUCAGACAGAAAAUGCAUUAUUUUUUAAAAAAGACAAAUGUUUCUUUAACACCUCACAAAUUCCUUACCCAUUGAUAGCUGACAGCUUUCUUUGCUAGCUGCCCUGCUGAGUUGGGUUUUCUACCAUUUCUACUAUGGUUUGUAUGCUUUUAUUUGGUGCUGUUCCUCAAUAACAGCUCCCAAAUGUGCCUAUAACCUUGUUUUCAGAAGUCUGGUUUUGAUGCCAUUGAAUCUACUGUGGCAAUGCAGCAAUUAAGUGGGAUUAAGUGAUACAUGAAACGAAGGAUACUCCUGUGUGGGUUAGCAUUUGGGGACAAAGUAUAAAAAGCAAGUCAUCUGGAUGACUUAUUCAUAACGUGGCCAUAUUUAGAACAAGGUCAAACUGGCAUCAGCGCCUUGAGUUUAAAAUAAUCCCUCCCCCUGUCCUCCAUCUGAUCAAAAUGUCAUCUUCAUUAGCAGACAUGGGUACCAUUUAGGAAGAGCACUCUGUAGGUCUCAGGCUUACUCACUGGUUUUAUAUUACAACUCCAAGGGAUUAUUUUCAGAAUUGUAGGAACAUAGGUGCUAGGUAUGAUGCUACAGAUACACUUAACUUUGCUUUUUAAAAAAGAUAAAAUAUUGCUGUUUCUCUCCCUCCCCCCCUUCUCACUCUGGUGCAAGAGUAGUCAUAUUUUCUAUCCAUCAUUCAAAGGGGGGCAGGGUGUUAUCUUUCCAAUGAAUCAAUAUCAGUCUUUUAAGUCAGAGCCUGAAGAGUACAUUUAUGCUGACCUGCUGUCAAACCACCUGUGGUUUGGAUAAUAUUAUCAUCUGACAAUUUAACAUUUCCCCCCAAAGUAGUAUUUCUGCAUCAGGCAUAGGCAAACUCGGCCCUCCAGAUGUUUUGGAACUACAAUUCCCAUCAUCCCCGGCCACUGGUCCUGUUAGCUAGGGAUCAUGGGAGUUGUAGUCCCAGCACAUCUGGAGGGCUGAGUUUGCCUAUGCCUGAUCUACAUCUUAGUAUUUUCCUCCAAAUAUUUGUAAGCAUCAGACACUGAAUCAGCCUAUGUUUCAAAGAAGCAUUUUCCUUAUUACAUCUCCAGCAGCAUGUUGUCAUGGAACAUCACCUCACAGGGUUGUUGUGACAAAUAGACCGGAUAUGGCAUAAGGUUUCAUGGGGCCGGCAUGUGAGACACAUGCUUGAGCAAGGUUCAAAUACCACCUUGGCCAUGCCUCACUAAACUACAAUUUUCAGAGUAGUUUAUCCAUCGAUCCUUCUUCUCAGGGAGCUCUCGGGAUUUAUAGCUCUGUGAGCGGGGUGGGGAAGGGUCUCCCGACAACUGUGAGCAUUCUUAACAAACUACCGUUUCCCAAGAUAGUUUUGGGAGAAGGAGUGACAGUUUAAAGUGAUAAGGUUCUGCUUUAAAUGUGUGUGUAGUUCAGAUGGUGAAUUAGUUGCCUAAUGAGAUUAAAUGAAGGCAGGUGAAAUGGAUGCAUGGUAUUGUUUUAUAAUAAUAAAAAGCAGAGGUGCAAUUUCAGGCUAGAUACUAGAAAUAUACUAGACUCUAUAUUUCUUUCAUCUCACGUGCACAGAAACAAACACGAAGAUCCAUGGAAACAGAACAAUCAGUAAAGAUUUCAUGAAGGUGUCAGAAAAGAAGAUUCAGCCGGGUGGCUCGGAAACAGACUGUGAAGUGAAUAAAUUCACGCAGGAAAGGGAAAGGGAAAGGAUCAUCUUUGCUAUAGUCUAUGAUUAUGUGCUGCCAAGACAUUUUGCUCAAUGUCUGGCCUUGAUGCUUUGUAAGUAACUGCUGUGUGUAUUCCUACAAUCUCUGAUGCGGUAUUGCAGUUGCUGGAUCAUUGAAAGUCAGGGGGAGAGCUGAGCUGCUAGCCUAAAAUCACAAUGAUAACACUAACAGCCUAGGUAAUUGAGGUUAUUAUGGAUGCAUUAGACAUACAGACAAACAUACACAAUUAUACACAGUGCAAAGAUAAGCGUAUUCACAGCAGCCAGAGUCUUCUAGCUCCGUCAGGAGAGACGAGAGUUCCCACACCUCAAACACACACACACACACACACACACACACACCCUCAGCAGCAGUGGCUUAGCACCAGGAUUCUCCAACCUGGUGCCCUCCAUAGGCCUUGGACUGCAGAUAUUCAUAUUGCACAGUUUGAAACAAGUAGGUGCUAAAAAUAGAGUCCUUAUGGAGUAAAAAAACAUUGUCCAGACCCAUGAAAAUAUUAUGCAAAGUGUACAUGCAGAAUUUUCUUUAAAAUAUAACCAAAAGGUAAAUGAUACAUUCAAACAAUUCCAUAUCUUGUGCAUAUCCAUCACAGGCUCAGCAUCCUCUUAGAAAUAAAAUAAAUGUACAAUCAGAGCUGACAAACACAACUCUCUCUCUCUCUCUCUCUCACACACACACACACAGGCUUCAUUGCCUGCAUUCCAUUUCCCUAGAGCUGUUUUCUCUCCCUUUGGGAGAGUCUUUUACGUGUCUGUACUCCAUAGUGUCUGAAAGAACAAGACUCCUUUCCAAGAUGACUAAUUUGCAAUUCAAUACCUUAAUCACGGGACGCGGGUGGCGCUGUGGGUUAAACCACAGAGCCUAGGACUUGCUGAUCGGAAGGUCGGCGGUUCGAAUCCCCGCAAAUGGAGCUCCCAUUGCUCGGUCCCUGCUCCUGCCAACCUAGCAGUUUGAAAGUGCAAGUAGAUAAAUAGGUACCGCUCCGGCGGGAAGGGAAACAGCAUUUCCGUGCACUGCUCUGGUUUGCCAGAAGCGGCUUAGUCAUGCUGGCCACAUGACCCGGAAGCUGUACACCGGCUCCCUCGAGAUGAGCGCCACAACCCCAGAGUCAGUCACAACUGGACCUGAUGGUCAGGGGUCCCUUUACCUUAAUCACCUGAUCUAAGGUUAAACACUCACGUGUUAGGUAGCAGAAAACAACAAUAGUUAAUUAUCAACUACUUAAAGCACAGAGAGAGUUCUUCUUGCUUUUCUAAAGCUUCAGUGGAAUCUCCCCAUGUAAAAACCUUUUCACCAAUACACAGGAAUUUCCAUUUCAGUGUGAAUUAAACCAAUUAUACAGAACACAGCUCCCAUCAGCCACUAUUUACUAUUACAUUUAUAUGCCACUUUUUCUCUAAGGACCUCAAAGUGGUGUACAUGGUUCUGCUCCUGCUCUCCAUUUUAUCCUCAAAGCAACCCUAUGAGGUAGGUUAGGUUGAGCUACCCCCUGUCUAUGUUAGGAUUCUAACCUAACAAGUUCUGAUAUGAAAACAGGAGAUCUAUAUUAUUGUGGGGAAUUCACACUUCAACUAAACAGUUCUACUGACUUAAUGAAUUCUCUGGUACAAAUCUGGGGUUCCCUUAUUACUAGGGAAUGAAUACUGUGAGUUUAACAUAAAUUACUCUACUGGCAAGGAUAUAGUAAAAGGCGCCCAUCAUUAUAGAGAAAAAUGUUUUAAAACAGAAUCAACAUGCAGACAAAUUUCCAUUGCUAGCUGUCAACACAUUGGAUGAAACAGAGCUUCUGAGAAGGCUCCAUUUUCAGUGGAAGAUAACUUUUAGUCAAAAACAUAUUUAUUUGCAGUGGAAAAUAAGUUUUAGUCAAACCAUUCAGGGUUUGGUUCCCAUUCAAGCCAAUAAAGGUUCUGUAACCCAUUAAAAAAAUGCUGGUAUGAAAAACAACCAAAGCUGGGGUAGCUCAGUCAAUAGAGCACGAGACUAUUAAUCUCAUGGUUGUGGGUUUGAGCACCACGCUGGGAAAAUAUUCCUGCAUUGCAAGGUGUUGGACUAGAUGACCCUCGUAGACCCUUCCAGCUCCACAAUCCUACAAUUCUAGGAACCAGUUGCUUCAGUUCUAGUUUCGAUGAGACAAUUUAAAUAUAAGGUACAAUGAAAACAUUGUUUGUAUAAUAAGGCACAGCAAACUAAAAUGCCUAAAAUUAUUAAAACUAAAGCCUUCUCCAGGCAUAUCCCCUUGUUACAGUUCUCAUCUCCCUCCAUGAUAUUUUGAGAUCUCAGGAACUGCAGAGAUUCUGUUCCCGUGAGACAUAAGUUUGCAAGAGGGCAGGAUUCCUCCAUUCAAGUAAGCUUGCUAGGUGUAAUCAGUGGUGGCUAACACCUGUUGAGAUUGGCAAGGAAGUAGGUAGGGAGCGCGGUAAGCCAGAGUCAACAAGAUGCAGAGCAAACUAAUUCUAUUUUUGUUCUCCUCCUUCUCCCUGCUGAAUCUACAAAGGGCACACUGAGACUAAGCUGGAGGAAGUUGAGAGGCAGUGCCGCUCUCUUCAGCCAUUGUAAGAAUGCAGGCUGGGGGAAGCUAGCUGAGGGCAGUCUGGCCUUGAUGGGGCAGUUCCCAAUUCACCCUAGUGGACCAACCUCCACUGGGUCUAAUUUGGGGUACCUACUACAGGCACCAGCCCCUAGCUUCUUCAAUGGGAUUUUUCCUGCCUCCCCACCCCAAAGUCCCUUGUUGUGUUACAGCACCUCCCAGGCUGAGAUUGGGUCUUACUAAUUUAAACACCUGCUAUAGUGUUUUGCCAAGUGGAGACAGUAGCCGUUAAUCCAAUGGCAUGAUAUGCAUCCAAUUACUUGCAGUAUCCAUCAGCAAAGCUUGCGGUCUUUGAGAUUUCUUUUCCAAUAAGUGUUGAGAAUUUAUUUCAGGACAAUACUUCGUAUAGCAAGUUCUGCAAUAAUAUUUUAAGACUGCAGUGGACACUCAGAAAAAGAAGCAGCAGUGGAGAAAUAUUAGCAUCAAACAAGAGCUGCUUUUAGUGAAAUUACAGUAUUAAACCAGAAUCCAGAUAUUCUCCAUCUUAAAAUCUUCAAGCCAUCACUGAAUGGAAACUCUCUCAUGUUCAGAUAAUACAAAGCUUCCUCUUCUAACAUGGGGCGUGAAGUAAGUCUCGCUUACUGAACUGUGGAAGAAGCAAGUAUUAACAUUUCCACCCAGAUUUCUGUAAUCUUUUUGGUUUGUCUUGUUACCUAGAAAAUCUCUUUGAUUAUCAUUUUAUGCUCUAGCUUAGCAGUUGUGCAAGGAACUAGUGGCGAGGAACACUUGUGUUAAUAUAAUUUCAAGGCCAGUGUUUUGGCCGAGAUGCAUUUCCUGCUGUAUUAUAUGCCUCAGAUCCAACUUUAGGUGGCAAGCCUCACUUUUACUAGGGAGUACUCUCCACUGAACACAAUGGACUUGUUGUUGUUGUUUAGUUGUUUCUGACUCUUCGUGACCCCAUGGACCAGAGCACGCCAGGCACUCCUGUCUUCCACUGCCUCCCGCAGUUUGGUCAAACUCAUGCUGGUAGCUUUGAGAACACUAUCAAACCAUCUCGUCCUCUGUCGUCCCCUUCUCCUUGUGCCCGAUUGGAGAAGACGGGUGAUGUCCAACCAAGGAGAGAAAGAAGCAAGUUGUCCUUUAAAAGCAAAGAUCCUUUAUUUGGUUGCAACCGGGUUCCCUACGCAAAGGUGACAAAAGGUGUGAGGAAACCCACCCAAAGUAAGUCCAGAAAUUAUACAGUCGCAAUUGCGGGUGGUCUUAUUUGUCACAGGUUCAUCAGUUUACAAGGUAAGGGGGAGGUACAUGGGAGCAGGGUGCAAAAGGGAGGUUCGGGGUGCAAAUCUUAUCUACAUGAGUAAAGUAAUAUCUAGAAAUCCAGGGACUGAUGGCAAAUGAUAUGGUAAUCCGUUUUUCUAGAAUAACAAUAGAGACGAGAGUUUUAUUUAACAGUUAAAUUCCUCUUCCCGCAGGGUCACAGGAAAUGGAUCUGGUCUUCUGGCACUUUACGGAAGAAGGAAGAGGAGCUGAGUGGAAGUGAUUAGGUUGAGGCUAAAAAUAACAUUCAUGGUUACAAUAAAGUGAUGC
rnacentral:lncRNA from 1 species